rnacentral:lncRNA from 1 species
AAUACAUCCGACAAGCACCAGACUCAUUACUGAGCUUGUUUUUACAGGUCUUUGCCCUCGAGACUCCCUUGUGUUUGACAUAGCAACUUUCUCCACCAUGUGACGCCAUCCCCUGGCGACAGACAGGAUGCCUCUGAGAGAAGAGGAGGCUGAGAGGAGGAUGAGAGGAGGAAAAGCUUGCGGGACGAUGACGAACCUAAACACUGUUCUUCUCUGCUGUCUGGAAAUAUUUCAUCCGAUUUCACCCAGCAUGGACUGGGCUGCUACAGUCUGCGGGGAAGGAGAGGAGGAAAACCGAUUAACCAACAAAUAAUUUGAACGAUGAAGAAGUUCCCUCUCGCUACUCCCUCCAUAUUGGAAGCCAUGGGCUCUGUGACGUCUGCCAUGACCAGACGGACCAGACACGCGUUGGUCAAAGUUGGUUCAGAACCCGAACACGAGACUGACCGGAGCCUCUCCGCCCCGAAGUCCGACCGCGGGAGGAAGAGGAGCGUGCGCCUCGAUGUCUCUUCCUCGAACCAGAUCGGACGGCAGAGAACGAGACAGUCGCUGUCCGAGGAGCUGAACUCGCCAGAUGUUGGUGACGGAAGGGUGGGGAGCGCUGUCGAGCCCUCUGGUAACGGGCUUUACGGUUCCAAGUCCCAGAGUGCAAUGUGGUCGGCCCCUGCGGCAGGGACUGGCGUGAGAGACGGAGAGACGAAGGUUCAAUUUGACU